CUCUAAGUCUCAAUUGAUGUAUGGGAGGAGAAACAGAGAAAGAGAUCUGGGUUUUAGACUAUUGCAGUCACCGGAGUCUCUGUGCACUGUGGGGAAAAUGUACUAAAUCCAGUUUAGUUUUUUAAACUGAUUAUUGUGCUGAAAUAUUCAUGGGAUGUUGCUUCCCCAGCACAAUGACAAACCAAUUAGGGGAAAGAGAUACAUUUUGUGAACAACAGUUAAUUCUCCUUGGGUGUAAAGCACUCCCUUUUAAUUAAUAGUCAUUAGGCUGAGAAGUAUUUACUUUGCUUAAGGGAACUUGUGGGUUCCAUGGAAAUAAUCGAGAUCUGAACAUCUUCACGUUUGUUUUGUCUUUGCUCUGGACCAGAACGGAUUUGUGGGCUGGGGUGAUAUUUUUCUUUUCCCUUAGACUCAGGGCUGCUGGAGUGGCAAACAGGAGAAGAGAGUUCAUUCGAGCUACAGCAUGAAGAGUGAGAAGGAGGAGGUGGAAAACAAAGAGGAGAGAGAGGAGCAGUCUGUGAAGCCCCCCCAGGGAGAAGAGAGAUUUCAGUCCCCUGGAAAAGCUCUGUGUGCACAGAGCUGCCUUCCUGUGUCCGCAGAGCCGUGCUCGUAAUCGAUCUCAGCUGCUACAUCUUGAUGGCACUGGGCAACUCCGUGGUAAGCAGCACCUUUUGAGUUUGACAGAGCCUCUGUUAUUUGCAGCUCCUCUCUUUAAAGCGGUACGUGUUAGACACACCUCCUAAGGGACAAAAAAAAAAUGCUGCUCCUAAGCUUAAGGCAUUUAAAAUGUACACCCCACCCUGCUUAUGUGCAUCUACAGUGUGUUAAACAGCUGCAGAGAUAAAACCAUUGGAAAAGCACAGGACAAAACGUUUAGCCCUUUGGCCAUAGAAAAAAAAGUGCAUGAGGAUGAGAAUAUUUACCAGUGAUGAUUUUCACCUCUUGCAGAGGAACUGAGAAAUGCUCCCGGGGAGAGGAAGCAGAGAUAACAACUUUCAGGAAGGAGAUUUCCAAAAGAAAUUAUUUCCAUAUCCAGUGCUGUCGAGUGAUCUCUAGUGAGACUUAGCCACGCACUGUUUCCUGCCCUUAUCUUCACAUCUCCCAAGAUGUCUCCUUCUCUCGGGCAUGGAGCUGCCCUGUUGGGGUGAGCUCUGAGAGCAU
rnacentral:lncRNA from 1 species